CCCUCCCAGAUCCACAGUGGUGUACUCUCUUGCUGGUGGGGCAGUCGGCUACAGUUCUUUAUCUUAUCAGCUCCUACAAACACUGCAUUUCCCUGGUAAGAUCUCGGCACUUGAAGGUGAAAGGCCUUCCUGCCCUGGAGUUUGAUGGGAGCUGAGUUAUCAAAAGAGAAGUCUUCCUUACAGAUUGGUGUACUUCUUAUCAGGUCUAAGUGUGGAGACAUUUAAGAGAAUCAAGAGAAAGUGGAGCUGUUCCCUAAUGGGUAGAAUGAAAUGAGACCUGCUGACAGAAGCAUCAGAAUGCCUGGAAUACUGGCCAGGAAACAAGGUGGUGCUGAAAACUACACCCCAAAGGGCAUCGAGGUGAGCAGAGAAGAUGGACGGCCGCUUUCUCUAGCCGCUGCCUCUGUGAGUUUAGCAUUACCAUUGUGCCUUUAAUCCUCUCUAUUGAAACAAUGGAUGCAGUGUCUAUCUACCGACUGGACCUUGCCAGAUGCACAUUUAAAGUUGGCUCUGCUUGUUCAUCUGACUGUGGGACCAGUUUGCAUUGUGUGCCAAGCUUCCCGCUGAGUGCUGGGACACAGUGAUGACUAAGUCAAACAAGCUCCAGGUGCUCCCAGUGAGGAGGAGACCAGUGAACAGGCAGAGGGUGGACUCAGCGCCCGCCGCCACUGAGUGCAGGGAGAGAUUUCUAUGGUCAACAGCUAAUUCUCACUCAUCAUCGAGGUAGAUUCCUAGGACUGAAGUACGCACCGCUUCCAUACCACUGUGGAAAUCAUUGACCCACGCCUGAUUGCAUUGAUGGCCCAGCCCCAGAACAACUGCUCUCCAAG
rnacentral:lncRNA from 1 species